GCCUGGCUAGCUCAGUUGGUAGAGUAUAUGACUCUAGGUCGUGGGGUUGUGAGUUCAAGCCCCAUGUUGGACA
rnacentral:tRNA from 1 species